UAGAUGGCUUUUGGCAGGAUAGCCAUUUU
rnacentral:piRNA from 1 species